CAGCCACGGUAAUACAGAGGGUGCGAGCGUUAAUCGGAUUUACUGGGCGUAAAGCGUGCGUAGGCGGCUUUUUAAGUCGGAUGUGAAAUCCCUGAGCUUAACUUAGGAAUUGCAUUCGAUACUGGGAAGCUAGAGUAUGGGAGAGGAUGGUAGAAUUCCAGGUGUAGCGGUGAAAUGCGUAGAGAUCUGGAGGAAUACCGAUGGCGAAGGCAGCCAUCUGGCCUAAUACUGACGCUGAGGUACGAAAGCAUGGGGAGCAAACAGGAUUAGAUACCCGAGUAGUCCCUGUCUCUUAUACACA
rnacentral:rRNA from 1 species